rnacentral:rRNA from 1 species
UACGGAGGGGGCUAGCGUUGUUCGGAAUUACUGGGCGUAAGGCGCGCGUAGGCGGCUUUGUAAGUUAGAGGUGAAAGCCCGGGGCUCAACCCCGGAACUGCCUUUAAGACUGCAUCGCUUGAAUCCAGGAGAGGUGAGUGGAAUUCCGAGUGUAGAGGUGAAAUUCGUAGAUAUUGGGAAGAACACCGGUGGCGAAGGCGGCUCACUGGCUCGUAACUGACGCUCA